GCGCUCGUAGCUCAACUGGAUAGAGCAUCAGCCUUCGAAGCUGGGGGUCGCAGGUUCGAGUCCUGCCGAGCGCACCA
rnacentral:tRNA from 1 species